UAGAAGAGAUAAUGCUAAAAUGAGUAAUAAGAAGGACUGACCUUCUCCCUGCGCACCUGUAUGUCAGAUUGGACCAACCACUGAUAAAUACCGAACCCCUUAAUAGAGGGCAUCAUUUUACAAUGAAUAAAGAUCGAGGAAACCCAAUGAACUAAAUCGUUGACCCAACACAGGAGCACAAAAAGGAAAGACAUAAAGAGAGAGAAGGAACUCGGCAAACCCGAGCCUCGCCUGUUUACCAAAAACAUCGCCUCCUGCUAAAAAAGAAGUAUUGGAGGUCCCGCCUGCCCAGUGACAAAAAGUUAAACGGCCGCGGUAUUCUGACCGUGCUAAGGUAGCGUAAUCACUUGUCUUUUAAAUGAAGACCCGUAUGAAUGGCAUCACGAGGGCUCAGCUGUCUCCUCUCUUUAGUCAAUGAAAUUGAUCUGCCCGUGCAGAAGCGGACAUGAUAACAUAAGACGAGAAGACCCUAUGGAGCUUAAGACAAAGGGCCAACCAUGUUAAACUACUAAUGAACCGACCGGGUUAAGAAGUAAUCAAGCUCUGUGGCACAUGGCCGGAAUGUCUUCGGUUGGGGCGACCUCGGAGGAAAACCAAGCCUCCGCGUGGAAUGGGGGUAAUGACCUCCCCCUAGAACUAAGAGCCACAAAUCUAAGUAGCAAAAAUUUUGACCAUUAAUGACCCGGAAUAAAUCCGAUCAACGAACCAAGUUACCCUAGGGAUAACAGCGCAAUCCCUUCCCAGAGUCCAUAUCGACGAAGGGGUUUACGACCUCGAUGUUGGAUCAGGACAUCCUAAUGGUGCAGCCGCUAUUAAGGGUUCGUUUGUUCAACGAUUAAAGUCCUACGUGAUCUGAGUUCAGACCGGAGAAAUCCAGGUCGGUUUCUAUCUAUGACGUGACUUCUCCUAGUACGAAAGGGCCGGAGCAGUGGGGCCCCUGCCAAAAGCAAGCCUCUCCCCCACCUGAUGAAAACAAAUAAAACAG
rnacentral:rRNA from 1 species